rnacentral:lncRNA from 1 species
AUACAAUACAAGAUUAGGUAGAAAAUGGGUACAGUAUAAUCACGAAAAGAAUGCAGCACUGCAGCAUAUAAUAGCUGCAGUAGAGGAAAGGAAGAGUCUAGGGGAGUCCCCUAAUGCCAGUGGGCUGAGCACUGCAGGAGAGGGUUCCUCCGCCCACGCAUAGUGUGUCUUAGACAGGUUGCUUUUCAAAUGUGUCAAAUGAUGGUGCUACAGCUCAUUCCUUUACUGAAAACUGUCCAGUGCUUUCCCUAAAUGGAACUCAACAUCUUGACUAUUUUCAGCAAUGCCGUUUACAUGCCUCCGUCCUACUGUUAUUCUCCCGUAACAGAAGUCCCACUGUACAUUUUCAGAAUCUUCAGAAUUUGCAGCCUCACCUGAGGCUUUCUGACAUUUGUUGUUCCUUGUUCUGUGACACUUAUUGCCCACAUAUUCAUACACUUGUCUUGCUCAUUUCCUUCACUGGAGUUCAGAUUUCUUCCAACGAAAGUUUUCUGUCUCUACCUUGUCCAAAAUAAAUCCCGAUUUCCUUCUCAUCUACACAUACUUAACCAUGAUAGGUGUCCACUCACAUACAUUGUCAUAGAAAAACAGAUCAUACCCCAUCUUCACACUAACUCGUAUAGAGCAUAAUCACAUACAUAACUACACACUCAUUUGUGUAGCUUAAACGCUUACACACACACACACCCUACUUCCCUUUAUCCCUUACCAUACAAUACUACUUAGCCUAUAACAUCAUAGUGUAUCUAGAUAUGUUUUGUUUUCUCUUUUUUUUAAAUGUCAUGUUGAGAAUGAUAACUCUUCCUUUACUUAGCUUCAGAGCUAAAAGAGUAAUAUAUCAUCAUUUGCAUUCAUGAGAAAUAAAUACUGUAAACAUAAAUAUAAAUAGGUGUGGCACCAUUCUUUAUUUCUGAAAAAUAUAAACAUAAAGGGAGUUGACUGUCUAAAAGCUUCCAGAGCAUUCCAUGCUUUACCUAGUACAAAGGAUGAAGAGUAAGAUGAGAGAAAUAUCUCUUUGCUCAAGAAAGAUUCUUGAAAGAUUUGUAUUUGUCUCUAAAAUAAAUAUGAAGUGAUGAAACCUUUUUAAGCAGGGGGUAAAUUUACUCUUCUGUGGCUGCUUUUCUUUGAGCAAUUAGUUCAAGGAAUCUUUGGCAUUAGUUUGUGGGACACCCUGAAAAGGAAGCCUCAGGUGUUCCAGCAUGUGGACUCUUGCAUAGGACCUUGUCACUGUUUUCCUUUCUCUCGUGUUGUGGGUGACCUCAUCAUCUUACCAGGACCCCAAUGUUGUUUUGUCAUCCUGGAAGGAACACAUUGCUCCUGCAUGCUGGCCAUCUGGGAUCCUCUUCCCAUCCAUCCACUUCACUUCUGCGUCUACCAAUAAAAAGUUCGAUUUUAAACCCUUUGAGAAAUUUGCUGGGAUUCAAUGAAAUCUGAAGUCUUACAGCUGCCAAAUAAAAAGU